rnacentral:rRNA from 1 species
GAUGAACGCUGGCGGCGUGCCUAAUACAUGCAAGUCGAGCGAACAGACGAGGAGCUUGCUCCUCUGACGUUAGCGGCGGACGGGUGAGUAACACGUGGAUAACCUACCUAUAAGACUGGGAUAACUUCGGGAAACCGGAGCUAAUACCGGAUAAUAUAUUGAACCGCAUGGUUCAAUAGUGAAAGACGGUUUUGCUGUCACUUAUAGAUGGAUCCGCGCCGCAUUAGCUAGUUGGUAAGGUAACGGCUUACCAAGGCAACGAUGCGUAGCCGACCUGAGAGGGUGAUCGGCCACACUGGCACUGAGACACGGUCCAGACUCCUAUGGGAGGCAGCAGUAGGGAAUCUUCCGCAAUGGGCGAAAGCUUGACGGAGCAACGCCGCGUGAGUGAUGAAGGUCUUCGGAUCGUAAAACUCUGUUAUUAGGGAAGAACAAAUGUGUAAGUAACUAUGCACGUCUUGACGGUACCUAAUCAGAAAGCCACGGCUAACUACGUG